GGUCCGCUGGCUCAAUGGCAGAGCGUCUGACUACGACUCAUCUAAAGAUCAUCAGAUCCCAAGAGCUCAAGUAAUCAGGAGGUUCCAGGUUCGACCCCUGGGUGGAUCG
rnacentral:tRNA from 1 species